GGAUGUGAGGGCGAUCUGGCUGCGACAUCUGUCACCCCAUUGAUCACCAGGGUUGAUUCGGCUGAUCUGGCUAGCUAGGCGGGUGUCGCCUUCCUCCCUCCCCGCUCCAUGUGCCUCCCUCCAGAAACUGCGCGCUUGGUCGAAGAGAAGGACCUUCUCUGAAGAAAGGAGGACCGGUCUUCGGCCAAGGGUCCAUGAGUAGCUGUGCUCCCCUGCUAGAGCCUCCAAACACGCUCUCAAGAUAAGACCUGAUUUCCAGAAAUCACCACCAAAGGCACUGAGGAAAUGAUAUUCCGGGCAGAUGCCAAGGCCUGAUGCAGGCAUAGCUUG
rnacentral:sRNA from 1 species